GUAGCGGCGAGCGAAGCGGGAAGAGCUCAAAUUUAUAAUCUGGCACCUUCGGUGUCCGAGUUGUAAUCUCUAGAAGUGUUUUCCGCGUUGGACCGCACACAAGUCUGUUGGAAUACAGCGGCAUAGUGGUGAAACCCCCGUAUAUGGUGCGGACGCCCAGCGCUUUGUGAUACACUUUCAAUGAGUCGAGUUGUUUGGGAAUGCAGCUCAAAUUGGGUGGUAAAUUCCAUCUAAAGCUAAAUAUUGGCGAGAGACCGAUAGCGAACAAGUACCGUGAGGGAAAGAUGAAAAGCACUUUGGAAAGAGAGUUAACAGUACGUGAAAUUGUUGGAAGGGAAACGCUUGAAGUCAGACUUGCUUGCCGGAGCUUGCUUCGGUUUGCAGGCCAGCAUCAGUUUUCCGGGGUGGAUAAUGACGGUUUGAAGGUAGCAGUCUCGGCUGUGUUAUAGCUUUCCGUUGGAUACGCCCUGGGGGACUGAGGAACGCAGCGUGCUUUUUGCGAAAGACUCGUCUUUUUCACGCUUAGGAUGCUGGUGGAAUGGCUUUAAACGGUCCGUCUUGA
rnacentral:rRNA from 1 species